AGUGAACGCUGGCGGUAGGCCUAACACAUGCAAGUCGAACGGCAGCACAGUAAGAGCUUGCUCUUACGGGUGGCGAGUGGCGGACGGGUGAGGAAUACAUCGGAAUCUACUUUUUCGUGGGGGAUAACGUAGGGAAACUUACGCUAAUACCGCAUACGACCUACGGGUGAAAGCAGGGGAUCUUCGGACCUUGCGCGAUUGAAUGAGCCGAUGUCGGAUUAGCUAGUUGGCGGGGUAAAUGCCCACCAAGGCGACGAUCCGUAGCUGGUCUGAGAGGAUGAUCAGCCACACUGGAACUGAGACACGGUCCAGACUCCUACGGGAGGCAGCAGUGGGGAAUAUUGGACAAUGGGCGCAAGCCUGAUCCAGCCAUACCGCGUGGGUGAAGAAGGCCUUCGGGUUGUAAAGCCCUUUUGCUGGGAAAGAAAAGCAGCAGGUUAAUACCCCGCUGUUCUGACGGUACCCAAAGAAUAAGCACCGGCUAACUUCGUG
rnacentral:rRNA from 1 species